rnacentral:rRNA from 1 species
CUUGCUCCUUUGACGUUAGCGGCGGACGGGUGAGUAACACGUAGGUAACCUACCUAUAAGACUGGGAUAACUUCGGGAAACCGGAGCUAAUACCGGAUAAUAUUUCGAACCGCAUGGUUCGAUAGUGAAAGAUGGCUUUGCUAUCACUUAUAGAUGGACCUGCGCCGUAUUAGCUAGUUGGUAAGGUAACGGCUUACCAAGGCAACGAUACGUAGCCGACCUGAGAGGGUGAUCGGCCACACUGGAACUGAGACACGGUCCAGACUCCUACGGGAGGCAGCAGUAGGGAAUCUUCCGCAAUGGGCGAAAGCCUGACGGAGCAACGCCGCGUGAGUGAUGAAGGUCUUCGGAUCGUAAAACUCUGUUAUUAGGGAAGAACAAACGUGUAAGUAACUGUGCACGUCUUGACGGUACCUAAUCAGAAAGCCACGGCUAACUACGUGCCAGCAGCCGCGGUAAUACGUAGGUGGCAAGCGUUAUCCGGAAUUAUUGGGCGUAAAGCGCGCGUAGGCGGUUUUUUAAGUCUGAUGUGAAAGCCCACGGCUCAACCGUGGAGGGUCAUUGGAAACUGGAAAACUUGAGUGCAGAAGAGGAAAGUGGAAUUCCAUGUGUAGCGGUGAAAUGCGCA